rnacentral:rRNA from 1 species
GACGAACGCUGUCGGCGUGAUUAACACAUGCAAGUCGAACGAGUGGCGAACGGGUGAGUAAUACGUGGGUAACCUGCCCUCCUUUUUGGGAUCAGCCUUGGAAACGGGGUCUAAUACCGAAUAAAGGGGGGUGUGCUCGCGUCAUAUCCGCUUGUUGGUGGGGUGCUGGCUACCAAGGCGUGACGGGUAGCCGGCCUGAGAGGUUGAUCGGCCGCAUGGGGACUGUGACACGGCCCAGACUCCUACGGGAGGCAGCAGUGGGGAAUAGUGGGCAAUGGGCGCAAGCCUGACCCAGCAACGCCGAGUGAAGGAAGACGGUCUUCGGAUUGUAAACUUCUUUAGACAGGGACGCGGUACCUGUAGAAUAAGCCACGGCUAACUACGUGCCAGCCGCCGCGGUAAUUC